GGGGUAGGUUAGCGGGUAGAGCAAGAGAAUCUUAAUCACUAGGUCCGGGGUUCGAGCCCCCGCGCGCUCACCA
rnacentral:tRNA from 1 species